UACGUAGGGGGCGAGCGUUGUCCGGAAUCAUUGGGCGUAAAGCGCGUGUAGGCGGCUCGGUAAGUCCGGUGUGAAACCUUGGGGCUCAACCCCAAGCCUGCACUGGAUACUGUCGAGCUUGAGUCCGGGAGGGGAGAGCGGAAUUCCCGGUGUAGCGGUGAAAUGCGCAGAUAUCGGGAAGAACACCCGUGGCGAAGGCGGCUCUCUGGGACGGUACUGACGCUGAGACGCGAAAGCGUGGGGAGCGAACAGG
rnacentral:rRNA from 1 species